rnacentral:rRNA from 1 species
UUUAAUUGAAGAGUUUGAUCAUGGCUCAGAUUGAACGCUGGCGGCAGGCCUAACACAUGCAAGUCGAGCGGCAGCGACUUAACUGAACCUUCGGGGAACGUUAAGGGCGGCGAGCGGCGG